GACAAUGCAUUUGGUUUUUACUCAAUUCCUACAAGCUAACCUCCACUUUUUCUUGGUGAUCUUAAGCCUAAAACAACACAAUAAUAAAACUGUGAAGAGAUCUGUUCAAUAAAAUGGUGCCUAAAGCUCUAAUUUGCCAGCAUUUGAAUUCUUAUUUGUGCGUGCUGCCUUUAUUCUUUUCCACCAUUGUCGCAACCUGUUGGAGACCUUGUUUGCAUGCCUCUUCAAUGUCUCACCGGUGUUUUUUAAUCCUUCGGUGAUCUUCUGUUUCCAGUCAUCAUUUCUGCUUUCCUUCCCUCUCAUAACUUUUGCCAAAUUUGAAGGGAAGUGUCUAUCAUCACCUCAUCUUCAUCGUCAUUUUCAUCGCCUUCUUCAUUCCCAAAAUUUUUCAUGUUCAUCAAAUCUUCCCUUGAAUACAUUUGCAUGUUAGGCGCUCCUGGCAUACCCUCCAUGGAUCUCAAAAUCUUCUCCAUCUCAGCAUCUUUGGCUGGUUUUGGCACAAAUGGUUCUCCUGGAGUUCUAUCCUUGGGAACUGGAGGUGGCUUCUUUCUACAUGAAUUAGUCAAGUCUUUGCACAAAUAGUUUACCAACGAAUCAACAUCAGGCUUGGAACUAAAUAUGUAUUCAGCAAUAUCAGUAUCAGAAUACCCCACAACCUGCUCACAAGCCUGCUCUAUUGUCUUGCAUUCUGAAUUGCAUUGACCUUCAGUGUCUUGUUCUACCAGCUCCAACUUAUCGCCUUGCUCCACUAUAUCAAUCUUCAUAAUCCAAUCAGCUUCUUCCUUCUUCAAAUUACAAACAUUCUCCGCCAACUCAAUGAUUUGAUACUCUGUGAUCUUCUUGGGUGAGAUCUGAGCCUGCUUUUUUGCUACUUGCUGGUACAACUCCUUUGCCAACUUUUCACAUACUUGGCACUUGAUGAAUGGUAUGUCCUCUUUUCUUGCAGCAAAAACAGGUUUCUUGGCGGAAAAAGAGACUGGCACCCAUGUUGAAACUACCAACAAAGUCACUAAAACGAUCAGUAUUUGCUUCAUAUUAGCCAUGGCUCCCUCUUUAUAGCUUCAAAAUCACAGAGUUGCUGCUUGGAUCCUUGAAAU
rnacentral:misc_RNA from 1 species